rnacentral:rRNA from 1 species
GAGCAGAGGGUGCACACGUUUGUUUCGGGAAUUACUGGGGCGUAAAGCGCGUGUAGGCGGUCUCGCAAGUCGGAUGUGAAAGCCCAGGGCUCAACCCUGGAAGUGCACUCGAUACUGCGAGGCUAGAGUCCGGAGAGGAUGGUGGAACUCUCGGUGUAGAGGUGAAAUUCGUAAGAUAUCGAGAAGAACACCGGGUGGCGAAGGCGGCCAUCUGGACGGGUGACUGACGCUGAGACGCGAAACGUGGGGAGCAACAGGAUUGAGAACCUGGUAGUCAAGAACCCAAGUACCUUCCU